UGUAAGGUCCAGGAGCCAAGGACCGAUGAAUCAAGGACCAAGUUGGACAAAGCUACAUUGUCCAGGAGCAUCCAGGGAGCCUGCCCAAGGCAGAUGCUCAAUGCCAUUGUACAGGAGAGAAAUGCAAGUUCCCCGCGGCGAACACUCGCCACAGAAAUACAAACUAUGGGUCUGUCCAUAGAUUUCUGUUACAGGACUGUAAGAAGGAGCCUUCAAGCUCCCAACUCUAUUUCAAAGAAGCCUCUCAGGGUGCCUCAAGUCAACCCAGCACCAUGGUGACAUGAGCUGAAAAACCUGUUGGGAGUGGGAGAAAGCACACAGGACACCCGAAAGAGAAAUGGCCCUGUGCCUUCCCUUGUACAGAUAGGGAUUUUCUGCCAAAGGUCCACACAGUGGCUCAUUUUCUAGUAUUUACCUCAGAAGCACAGAGGCCUCAUCUCAGGGUCCUCAGCACCAUGUUAAAAGGUCACAGGAAGGAAGCUCACCUGGCCACAGGCACCAGCAAGACGUCUGUGCCAGACAGGCAUCUCACUGCUCUGCCUGUUUGUCGUCUUUGCAUGUCCUGACAAAAGGACUGCACACCAGAUGAAAACCUACCUGCCCCCGUGAGAGCCUCCUAGAACAAGGUACCUGAAUCACUCUUCGGAGAGCGGUGCCAGGACCCUCCUGUAACCCUGUAUCUCUCCAUGCGACCUGAGUACAAGCAUUGUCUUUCCUCUGCGCCAGAAAAGCAGCACGCCCGAGCCCCCAAAGCUUUCUCGUGGCACAAGAAGAAAGGGAAGCGGUCCAUUUAAGUAGCUCAACAUAGCAAGUUCAGCCAGCACACGGCCCCUUCGUUCAAGUAACAUGAGAUCUGGGAGCAGAGAAAAAGAGAAAGGCUAGAGCCCGGUCAGGGUUUUGUCUUCUUUCGUUUGCCAACGCUCUUACGGGGUGUAGGGGGAGUGAGAAAGAAAAGGGAGUUAUUACCCAACAUAAAAAGGAUGGCACAGAACCAAUGCCAAGCUGAUAACUUAAGAAUGGCUGAGUUGAAUGGGGGAGGGUGAGAUCCUCUUCCCAGUAGACAGAAAAGCUACCCCCUCAAAGCCGAUUCCUCCGCAGAGCACUCCAUGAGGAAUGGCUGCCUGGGUCACGUGUGUUUGUUGCGUUGAGACAGGGGAGCAGUAAUGAAAUUAUCAAAUGGAAAAGAAACGCUAAGGGCGUAAAAACAGCUGGCAGAAAAGAAGUGAGCUCGCCGUUCAGCAGCUGGAAGGGGUUUUCCUGGAGUGGACCGUAUUAGCAAGUAGUGUAUGGCUCCGGGCUGCCGCACAUGGAAGGUCUGUAUGACAACGCUGAACUCAGCAGAGGGUUUAAAGCCUUUGCACAGGAAGUAGGAGCAAUGCAGAACCGAACAGGGCGAUGGGAAGUGGACAAGGGAGCAAAGGGAGGCAAAGGCGUAGGACAAACAAUGGCCAUUGUCUCUUUUAAGGUUUUACAGCUAUGGUGUACAAUUAAGCUGACAUUUUAAACUGCUAGCACCUCUUGCCACUCAGACUUGAACAAGAUCUUAACAGCACAGGCAUGGGGAGCGGAGUUUUCAGCGGCCAAGGGCACGGAGCACACUCACGACCCAGAAACAGAUAGAAAGUUAGGUAGAUGUGAUGUGUGGAUACGGGGAAGGCCACUAAGGGCAGUGCCCCACCCCAAAGAAGUUUUAGUCUGCCUCGCCUUCCUCUGCUUCCCACCCUGCCCAUAUGGACAGAUCCCCUUCCAUCUGCACGUGUGUAUGGGGGGGGGGUGUCACCGACUUUAUUUAAAUCCAAAAGACAGAAUGAUUCCACUAAAAAUUUUAAGUCAAACUGAUUAUCACACAGAGCAAAAUUUGGUUAUGCACGUGCAUGUGUGCGCGCGCACACACACACACCGAGGGAUAAGGGAGAAACACAUAUGUGCAUGCACAUAGAACCUUGUAAUCCCAGGAACCCAAACCAAAGAAAGGAUGUGUGGGAAGUAAUUUCAGCACUGAUUAUACCCAGGAAAUCAAGUAUCAUAAGCCUUACCUUCCAUCUGUGGCCCUCUUGUGGGUCACGUCAUUCUUUCUUACCACCUAGAGAGCUUGCCCUUAGUUUUCUGUAUUGGUUUUAGGACAAACAUGAUUUGCCUAAAGCAACAAAAUACACAUAGGAAUAGGAAAAAUAUUAGAGGAUAUUAUAUUAACUGUAUUCCUGGAGUCUGAUAUCCAACUUUCUGAUUGUCAUCCAUGAUAAGCUACUGAUCCAAGAGGAAGUAAGCAUAGAAGACAUUCAGUCUAAGCAAAGCCAAGCUUUGAGAUACGUGUGAAGACCACAUGCUGCCCGUCACAUGGGACAGUCACCAGAGAAGAUUUUUUCAAUGUAGCAGAGACCCCACGGUCACACAGAAUUCUAAGAAUAAGUGACAGAUGAGUUCUCAUCCCUGAAUGUCCUCUUUAAGCCUCAGAAGCAUUGCGGAAGAGUGGGCAGAAGAAACAUAAGAGCUGGGAGACAGAAGAAAGGACUGCAGUGAAAAUCUCAUCCUCUGGGCAAGAUAAAGUCACUGCAACCCUAAACUUCCCACAACUAUAAAUGCUCGCCUUAGUCUACAAAAGGGACCUGUCUUUUGUCAGGCGGAGAUUGAGGGUGGGCUCAAGGAGAUCUACCCCUCAAGGCUGAACUGGUUGCUACUGAUAGGUUCUGGGAGAGGGGGAACCACUGCUUUCAGCUUUGUGCCCACUGAUACAUCAGGCUCCAGUAGGUAGUUCCAAUCCAAUGGUCUACAAUUGGCCAUGUCUAAAUGGGUCAGAAAACAAAACCAAUACUCGUGGAUGUGGGAAAAGGAGUGUGAGUAACAGAAGUGAGUGGGGAAGAGGGUUGACAGGGAUGGGGGAGAGGACAGGGGCAGAAGAAGCAGAAUAUGUUA